ACGUAGGUGGCGAGCGUUAUCCGGAAUUAUUGGGCGUAAAGCGCGCGCAGGCGGGAAAGUAAGUCUACUCUGAAAGCCCGGGGCUCAACCCCGGGAUGGGGUGGAAACUGCUUGUCUUGAGUGCGGGAGAGGAAAGCGGAAUUCCCAGUGUAGCGGUGAAAUGCGUAGAUAUCGGGAGGAACACCAGUGGCGAAGGCGGCUUUCUGGAGGGUGUCUGACGCUGAGGCGCGAAAGCCAGGGGAGCGAACGG
rnacentral:rRNA from 1 species